GAGGGGAGACGGCGCGGCGUACUUGGCGGUGUACCCGGCGGCGGUGGUGUGGGCGGAGACGGUGGAGAUGCUCACGGCGAGGCUGCAUGCCGGGCCCAGCCGAAGGGGCGCCGGCCACUAGCUACUCGCGGACAGGACAGCUUGGAUCGGUCCACCAGGAUGAUUGGCGAAUCCAUUAUUAUUUUCUUCAUUUCCGUCAUACAAAUUGCAGAUAGAACGAUUCUUUAAUACUCUCUUCGUUUUAAAAUAACUGUCUCAACUUUAUACUGUACUAGUUUUAGUAUAAAGUUGUACUAUGUAUCUUCUUUCCAUUCCCUUUUCUCGCUGUAAGUUGGUACGAUAGAGUGUGUGAUGGUUUUGCUAAAUCUCGUCGAAUUCGUUGUCGCUAAGAUUCGUGAUGUAUUUAAGUUGUUUGUCUAGUAUAAUUACAUUUUACACUUUUAGGGGUGUCUAGUAUAUUUACUGUCCAAAUACUU
rnacentral:lncRNA from 1 species